CACUCUCUCCCCCUAAGCGGCAGGCGGCGGCAGCAGCAGCAGCAGCAGAACAGAAUUGGAAGCCUGAGAUGGGGGAGGCAUCACAGCCUUUUGUUAUGGGAAAGUGGGCAAGGAGGAGAAGAACUUGGGAAGCCACUACUAAUGUCUAGCCCUCUUCGUAACCAUGAAUGUACAGUCUCCCCCAAGCAGAAGUGAUUCUGCAUACCUGUUCCCACGACAGCAUGAACUCCAGUUGGCAGUGAAGAGUGAGGUUAGCCCAGUCCACCCCCAGUCUCUCUGGGACUACAUUUUGGGAAGAUGAGUUAUCCCAUAUUGGAAGUGAAGUUAUUACAAGAAGACCAAUUUUUCUUACAGGAAAAAAAUGAGCAUAGUAUGAGAUACCAGGCCUCCUGAUGUCUCUAAUCUGACUCAAUGGAAGAAUAUACACCUUCCCAGAGAGGGUGGGCAACUUGCUCAGGGUCACACAGCCAGAAUGAGAUGAACUCAGAAUUAAAAUCCAUGUUUCUCAGCU